GACGAACGCUGGCGGCGUGCCUAAUACAUGCAAGUAGAACGCUGAAGCUUGGUGCUUGCACCGAGCGGAUGAGUUGCGAACGGGUGAGUAACGCGUAGGUAACCUGCCUGGUAGCGGGGGAUAACUAUUGGAGACGAUAGCUAAUCCCGCAUAAGAGUAGAUGUUGCAUGACAUUUGCUUAAAAUGUGCAAUUGCAUCACUACCAGAUGGACCUGCGUGGUAUUAGCUAGUUGGUGAGGUAACGGCUCACCAAGGCAACGCUACGUAGCCGACCUGAGAGGGUGAGCGGCCGCACUGAGACGGUGACACGGCCCAGAGGCCUACGGGUGGCAGCAGUAGUGAUACGGGAGCAAUGGGCGGAAGUCUGACCGAGCAAGGCGGCGGGAGGGAGGAGGGUUGUCGGGUCGUAAAGCACGGUUGUAGGAGAAGAACGAGUGUGAGAGUGGAAAGUUCACACUGUGACGGUAUCGGACCAGAAAGAGACGGCUAACUACGUG
rnacentral:rRNA from 1 species